rnacentral:rRNA from 1 species
UACGGAGGGGGCUAGCGUUGUCCGAAGUUACUGGGCGUAAAGCGCGCGUAGGCGGGUUGGUAAGUCCGCUGUGAAAGCCCGGAGCUUAACUCCGGAGGGUCGGUGGAUACUGCCAGUCUUGAAGGUGCUAGGGGGAGAUGAAUACCGGUGUAGCGGUGAAAUGCGUAGAUAUCGGUAGGAACACCAGUGGCGAAGGCGGUCUCCUGGGGCAUUCUUGACGCUGAGGCGCGAAAGCUGGGGGGAGCGAACGGG